AUGGAGGCCGGGGGAGCCGAGGGACCCGCUGGGAGCCCGGCGGCAGCACAGAGCAGAGUCAGGACGAGCCCCCAGUGCUGGGCCUGUCCUGCCACACCGCACUGCCUCCCGGGGACCCCUCAGAGACCCCCGUUCAGGGUGACCGCUGAGGACAGCAGGGCAGACAGGCAACGGCACCGGGUCUGGAGGGACUUUAGCAGAAGGAAACGGGGAUGCCCGGGGUCGGUCGUCACAGAGGAGAUGACGCCGUCUGAGCACAUCGAAGCCUUGCGGGCGGCGAGUAACUCAAGAAACUGGGAAAGCGGGCCAGGGAGGGCAUCUUUAACAACCAGCGCGUGCGCGCGCCCCACCUCUGUCUCUUGGCCACGUGCCACCGAGUCUCAUCCACGGGUGGAAUUUGUCUCAGAGAAGAUAAAAAUUGUGUUUGAAGAUGACUUGUGAUGCACGAAGUGGUUUUGUCUCACACGUAAAUACAGAUUUAAGGUGAUAUUAACUGAAGACUCUGAGUGGAGAAGAUUGGGUCUGCAGGCUGAGAUGGAGAUCUCCUGGGCAGGAGUGGGAGACCUGAGUUCUUGUCCUGAUCCUGGCGGGAACCAGUCCCCUCUGUUCCACCAAGCGAGAGCCUCAAGUCCUGCUCUGCCCACGCGGGAGGAUGUUCUGUCAGAGGAGCGCAAGUUUGCACAAGAGUUUUGAAAACCCCAAAGCACUAGACAGAUAUAAGAGAUUUCCCCUUUGGUUUUCUUUUCUUUUGUCUCUGACGAAAAUUCAGCAUCAUCACUUGUUAAUUGGCCAGUAAGAUCACAAUCAGUAAGAUGCACAAUCCUACUUUUCUUUCCCAGAAGAUUAAUACGCAGCUGUAGAUUUCAGGAUCAUUUAAAGCGUUCUUUGAAAAUCUGACCCUUCAUAACAGACAGACGCUCCCAGAAAACAAUAACAAUGAAAUAAUAACAAUAAUGACAACAAUAAAUGCUAAAAAUGGAAACGGGCA
rnacentral:lncRNA from 1 species